GACGAACGCUGGCGGCGUGCCUAACACAUGCAAGUCGAGCGUGAAAGGAGCUUCGGCUCUGAGUAAAGCGGCGAACGGGUGAGUAACACGUGGGCAACCUGCCCCAAGGACUGGGAUAACCCUCGGAAACGAGGGCUAAUACCGGACGUGCAUACAUCGCACAAGUGGCGUAUGCAAAGGUAGCUUCGGCUUCUGCCUUGGGAUGGGCCCGCGGCCUAUCAGCUUGUUGGUGAGGUAAUGGCUCACCAAGGCUACGACGGGUAGCUGGUCUGAGAGGACGAUCAGCCACACUGGGACUGAGACACGGCCCAGACUCCUACGGGAGGCAGCAGUGGGGAAUCUUGCGCAAUGGGCGAAAGCCUGACGCAGCAACGCCGCGUGGAGGAAGAAGGCCUCGGUUGUAACUACCUGUCAGGGGAAGGAAGGACGACCUGGUGGAAGUAGCCCAACGGGACGUGACGGUACCCCGACGACGGAAG
rnacentral:rRNA from 1 species